GGAAGAAGUCAGCAUGAAGUCAGUGAUUAAGUUCCAGAUUUUUAUUGUUAGAGAUUUAUUUGUUUUUGAUAACCGUCAUACUCUUUAGCAGAUUCGGGGCCAGAGCCAGACAUCAUAACCACACAAUAUGCAAGUUUUUGUUGUGCAGGUGUUAACCUGUCACCAGCACCAUUCUCAGGAUCACCGCUUGGAUAAACAGUAUCCCUCUUGAUUGGAGAAACUACCGAUGUCGGUCGAGUUACGGAUCUCUUUUAUCCCCUUUCUUUAAAUGUCGUCGUGUACGCCCAUUUGAAUGUGGGUGUAUUCACGAGGACACCCUUUUUACCCUAUCCCGUCUGCUGGUGUAAUUUAACUCUUCAGCGGAUGGAUGGAGCAACUGUGGAUGCCUGGCUGUAUUUCCCAGGCAUAAACCAUAAAGGUAGGACAAAAUUGAUCUCUAUUCUUCCUUUUGGACAAUUUUGGGUGGCGUUGAUUAUAAAUCGUUACGUAGUCACGGAGUAUGUUUAUUCCUGA